rnacentral:rRNA from 1 species
UGGGGAAUUUUGGACAAUGGGCGAAAGCCUGAUCCAGCAAUGCCGCGUGUGUGAAGAAGGCCUUCGGGUUGUAAAGCACUUUUGUCCGGAAAGAAAUCCUCUGGGUUAAUACCUCGGGGGGAUGACGGUACCGGAAGAAUAAGCACCGGCUAACUACGUGCCAGCAGCCGCGGUAAUACGUAGGGUGCAAGCGUUAAUCGGAAUUACUGGGCGUAAAGCGUGCGCAGGCGGUUUUGUAAGACGGAUGUGAAAUCCCCGGGCUUAACCUGGGGACUGCAUUCGUGACUGCAAGGCUAGAGUAUGGCAGAGGGGGGUAGAAUUCCACGUGUAGCAGUGAAAUGCGUAGAGAUGUGGAGGAAUACCGAUGGCGAAGGCAGCCCCCUGGGCCAAUACUGACGCUCAUGCACGAAAGCGUGGGGAGCAAACAGGAUUAGAUACCCUGGUAGUCCACGCCCUAAAACGAUGUCAACUAGUUGUUGGGGAUUCAUUUCCUUAGUAACGUAGCUAACGCGUGAAGUUGACCGCCUGGGGAGUACGGUCGCAAGAUUAAAACUCAAAGGAAUUGAC